CCCUUAGAUGUUCUGGGCCGCACGCGCGCUACACUGAUGCAUUCAACGAGUAAUCUUUGACCUUGGUCGACAGAUCUGGGUAAUCUUUUGAAAUUGCAUCGUGAUGGGACUUGCGGGUUGCAAUUACCCGCACCAACGAGGAAUUCCUAGUAAACGCAAGUCAUCAACUUGCAUUGAUUACGUCCCUGCCCUUUGUACACACCGCCCGUCGCUCCUACCGAUUGAGCGGUCCGGUGAAGACUCAGGAGAUGGGCGCGUGCUUGGUUCGCCAACUGCGCUGCCUGCCAAAGUUGUCUAAACCUUAUCGCUUAGAGGAAGGAGAAGUCGUAACA
rnacentral:rRNA from 1 species